UACGUAGGGCGCAAGCGUUGUCCGGAAUUAUUGGGCGUAAAGAGCUCGUAGGCGGUUUGUCGCGUCUGCCGUGAAAGCCCGGGGCUUAACUCCGGGUCUGCGGUGGAUACGGGCAGACUAGAGUGCUGUAGGGGAGACUGGAAUUCCUGGUGUAGCGGUGAAAUGCGCAGAUAUCAGGAGGAACACCGGUGGCGAAGGCGGGUCUCUGGGCAGUAACUGACGCUGAGGAGCGAAAGCGUGGGGAGCAAACAGG
rnacentral:rRNA from 1 species